GACAGAGGUGCCAAGCGUUAUGCGGAAUCACUGGGCUUAAAGCGUGUGUAGGCGGAUCGUUAAGUACCUUGUGAAAUCCCACGGCUCAACCGUGGAACUGCUGGGUAUACUGGCGAUCUUGAGCCACCUAGGGGCGAGCGGAACAAGCGGUGGAGCGGUGAAAUGCGUAGAUAUCGCUUGGAACGCCAAUGGUGAAAACAGCUCGCUGGGGGUGUGCUGACGCUGAGACACGAAAGCCAGGGGAGCGAACGGG
rnacentral:rRNA from 1 species